CCUACGGGUGGCAGCAGUAGGGAAUCUUCCACAAUGGGCGAAAGCCUGAUGGAGCAACGCCGCGUGGGUGAAGAAGGUCUUCGGAUCGUAAAACCCUGUGGUUAGAGAAGAAAGUGCGUGAGAGGAACUGUUAACGUUUCGACGGAAUCUAACCAGAAAGCAACGGCUAACUACGUGCAAGCAGCCGCGGUAAUACGUAGGUGGCAAGCGUUAUCCGGAUUUAUUGGGCGUAAAGGGAACGCAGGCGGUCUUUUAAGUCUGAUGUGAAAGCCUUCGGCUUAACCGGAGUAGUGCAUUGUAAACUGGGAGACUUGAGUGCAGAAGAGGAGAGUAGAACUCCAUGUGUAGCGGUGAAAUGCGUAGAUAUAUGGAAGAACACCAGUGGCGAAAGCGGCUCUCUGGUCUGUAACUGACGCUGAGGUUCGAAAGCGUGGGUAGCAAACAGGAUUAGAUACCCUGGUAGUC
rnacentral:rRNA from 1 species